GACGAACGCUGGCGGCGUGCUUAACACAUGCAAGUCGAACGAAGAGCGAUGGAAGCUUGCUUCUAUCAAUCUUAGUGGCGAACGGGUGAGUAACGCGUAAUCAACCUGCCCUUCAGAGGGGGACAACAGUUGGAAACGACUGCUAAUACCGCAUACGAUCUAAUCUCGGCAUCGAGGAUAGAUGAAAGGUGGCCUCUACAUGUAAGCUAUCACUGAAGGAGGGGAUUGCGUCUGAUUAGCUAGUUGGAGGGGUAACGGCCCACCAAGGCGAUGAUCAGUAGCCGGUCUGAGAGGAUGAACGGCCACAUUGGGACUGAGACACGGCCCAGACUCCUACGGGAGGCAGCAGUGGGGAAUCUUCCGCAAUAGACGAAAGCCUGACGGAGCAACGCCGCGUGAGUGAUGACGGCCUUCGGGUUGUAAAGCUCUGUUAAUCGGGACGAAAGGCCUUCUUGCGAAUAGUGAGAAGGAUUGACGGUACCGGAAUAGAAAGCCACGGCUAACUACGUG
rnacentral:rRNA from 1 species